rnacentral:rRNA from 1 species
GAUCAUUAAAGAAUCGGCGGUUUCGACCCCAUUCUCACCCUUUGUAUACCAAACUUCUGUUGCUUUGGCUGGCCCUCGGGCCGGUCAGAGGACCUUAACCCUUGAAUCUUUGAUGUCUGAGUACUAUAUAAUAGUUAAAACUUUCAACAACGGAUCUCUUGGUUCUGGCAUCGAUGAAGAACGCAGCGAAAUGCGAUAAGUAAUGUGAAUUGCAGAAUUCAGUGAAUCAUCGAAUCUUUGAACGCACAUUGCGCCCUCUGGUAUUCCGGGGGGCAUGCCUGUUCGAGCGUCAUUACAACCCUCAAGUUUCACUUGGUGUUGGGCUCGCCCCCUGUGGGCCUGCCUCAAAAGCAGUGGCGGCUCCGUCCGAUCUCAAGCGCAGUAAUGCUCGUCGCUUGUUGGUCUCGGCGGGUGCUUGCUAACAACCCCCAUCUUUAAAAUUGUUGACCUCGGAUCAGGUAGGGAUACCCGCUGAACUUAAGCAUAUCAAUAAGCGGAGGAAAAGAAACCAACAGGGAUUGCCUCAGUAACGGCGAGUGAAGCGGCAACAGCUCAAAUUUGAAAGCUGGCUCCUUCGGGGCCCGCGUUGUAAUUUGUAGAGGAUGUUUCGGGUGCGGUGCCCGUCUAAGUUCUUUGGAACAAGACGUCAUAGAGGGUGAGAAUCCCGUAUGUGACUGGUUGCCUGUGUCCAUGUGAAACUCCUUCGACGAGUCGAGUAGUUUGGGAAUGCUGCUCAAAAUGGGAGGUGUAUUUCUUCUAAAGCUAAAUACUGGCCAGAGACCGAUAGCGCACAAGUAGAGUGAUCGAAAGAUGAAAAGCACUUUGGAAAGAGAGUUAAACAGUACGUGAAAUUGUUGAAAGGGAAGCGCUUGCAAUCAGACUUGCGCGGCGUCGAUCAGCCUGGGUUCUCCCUGGUGUACUCGGCGCCGCUCAGGCCAGCAUCAGUUUCGGCGGUGGGAUAAAGGCUCAGGGAACGUGAGUUGCUUCGGUG